CCAGGAGAUCUGGGGCAGCGAGCUGUGCGUCUGGCAGCGCAGGUCCAGCAGCGUGGGCCCCAGGAAGGCGAUGCACAGGCCGAAGCUGAAGAAGACGCUCCAGUAGAGUGUUCAUGGCUUUCAUUGGACCCUCGAGAGGAUAAGCAUUUUAGACAGAAAACCUUGGAACUAUCCGAUCUGCACCCGAAGCUCCGCCUGAGAGCUGGUCUUCCCCGGCCGCAUCUCUGCGCGCUGGACAGGUGCAGGAAGGAGGAAGAUGAAGGUGGCUAUAGAACUGGCGAGUCCUGUGUGGUCCUGCUUCUGAGGGAGCCAGGGUUCCUGCAUUGGCCCCCGGAGGCGGAGCAGUAAGGUCCAGAGUGUCACUUCUGCUGGUGGUGGCAGGAACCACGACAUCAUGCCCACUUGGCCCUCCAGGGGGACCAGAGCCGAAAGGGCUGAGGAGGUUGGGGGGCGGGGAGGGAGUGCUCUCCUGACAACCUGGCACGAGGAGGGGGCAAUCCACUUUUCUUGCAGGGCUGGCUUCAUCUCACAGAGGCACCAUCCCUCCUCUCCUCUGAGCACAUGGGAGCAGAGCCCCAGGGCCUCUCUGGCUCAGUGGGUUGGUAGGUAGUAAGAGUUAUUUAUUCAGUAGUGAUAAUGGAGGGUCUACACAGUAUUUGUGGUUCAGUAAAAAGUUCUCCUCUAGGAAAAAAAAGAAAUGAAUCAUAACCACAAGCAUUUGGUUGGGUCCUUUCUGCCAUUUUCACAGAAUUCCAGAACCACAGAAGCUCCGAGUUGGAAAGAACAAUCUCCAAAUCGAGUCCCCUAUCCUCUCCCCAUAGUUGCUGAUAAAUGCUCAUCAGUCCUGUUCUUGGCUGAUACCUCUUACUGUUGAGGACCUUACCUAUCAUCUCCUGUGGGUCUGCUUCCAACGUGGGUCAGCUCCAGUUAGGAAGGGUUUCAUGCCCCACUGAAAUGCCCCUCCCGGUGACUCCCCACCGCCACCCACGGGACAAGUCUAAUUGCUCCGCGCAUGUUAGCCCUUCACACACACCACCCGGCCCCAGCACUUGGCUUCUCCAGCCCAAACACCUAAAAUUCUUUCAUGAUUUCUAUAGAUGGUACUCCCCAGAUCUAUCACCCUACUGGGGCAGCUCCUCCAGCCACAGUAGCCGUGACCCUGGUACAGUGCACCGUGAGGCAGCCCAUAGUGUCUGGGGUGCUAGAGGCAUUCUAUAGCUUGAUCCGGGUGGUGGUUACACAGCUAUAAACAUAUGUAAAUAUUCAUUCUUGUACAAACAUACGCAUGCUUAUGAUUUGUGUCUUUUACUGUAAGUUACAGUUGGACAAAAUAGUGGAAAGUAAAAAUAAGUAAACAAA